UCCACAUCCCCCUGCCCUUUCCGAGAAAAGGACAGUUAGUGCCUGGACCAGGACUAUCACACUGGGGACCGGCUUCUCUGCUCUCCCUUUAUAGGGGUCGGGGGAAUGAAGGGGCAAGGGUCUUCCGAAGAAAGCGAGAAAGGAACAGGCGCCUUCAAAAGCCCACUUGGCAUGGGUUACAGUAAGAGGAAGUCUGCAUUAUCACGAGGAGCUUGGAAAGGAGGUAACACACUCAAGGCAAAUUUCAAGUAACUCAUCCUAGAGGCAGCUGCCUACUCUGCAGCUGUGGUUCUCCACCACAGAGAGAAGAAAAGGGAGGGAGAUGGAGUGUGCAGGUCUGAGAAGGCUUUCAUUCUGGAGCAUCUGCAGGAGCCUGCACCAUGGCCCAGUAGCACCCCUUUUUCUCCAUGAGCUGCUGGUGGGUUCCCCCCUCCCGGAUAGCGCCUCCUUCCAGAAAGAGGAUGUGGUCAGCCUGCUCCACCAGGCUGAGGUGCUGGGUGAUGAGAAGCACUGAGCGGGAGUACCGCUCAGGGCUUUGGUACAGGAGCUGCUCCACCUGAGGAAAGAUAUCGGACCGUCAGAGCUGGGGACUACCCUCAGCCCAGGGAGACACCUGUGUUUCCAGGGCUGGGACUGACCUCACAGGAUCACUGCUGGCUCUGCUAACAACCCCAAGGACACCAACGUUUCCCAUUCUGAGUACUUCUCCGCAAACCCUUUGUUUCAUUAAGGACUGUUUUACAUGAAGGUGCAAAAGUAGGAUAAAAAUGAGAGUCCUAGGGUGAAACACGUGACAGAAGAAUAAAGACUAUUGAAUAGUCCUCUUCUCUACCCAUGGACUUGGAAUUUUUAUAUUUGAUUUUAAGGAAAUAUAACUUAGUAGUAAAGAGAUGAGCAUUCAAGUCAGGCAGACCUGAGUUUGGAUCAAGGCUGCGCCACUCAAAAGCUAUAUGACCUCUAUACGAGCAGCUUAUUCAACCUCUUUUAGCCUCCAUUUUGUCAUCUGUAGAAUGAUGAUAAAUGCCUAGCUCAGAAGGAUUCCUAAUGAAUAAAUGAGUGACAGUGCAUGUAAACAGACUAGCUUAAUUAAUAUUAAUAUGAUUAGGAUGGGCUGAGCCCGGUGGCUCAUGCCUAUAAUCUAGCACUUUGGGAGGUCAAGGAGGGAGGAUCACUUGGGCCCAGGAGUUCAAGCCCAGGCUGGGCAACAUAGCGGGACACUGUCUGUACAAAAAAAAUUUUUUUAAAUAAACAAUAUUAUGAGGA
rnacentral:lncRNA from 1 species